AGUGAACGCUGGCGGUAGGCCUAACACAUGCAAGUCGAACGGCAGCACAGUAAGAGCUUGCUCUUACGGGUGGCGAGUGGCGGACGGGUGAGGUAUACAUCGGAAUCUACUUUUUCGUGGGGGAUAACGUAGGGAAACUUACGCUAAUACCGCAUACGACCUACGGGUGAAAGCAGGGGAUCUUCGGACCUUGCGCGAGUGAAUGAGCCGAUGUCGGAUUAGCUAGUUGGCGGGGUAAAGGCCCACCAAGGCGACGAUCCGUAGCUGGUCUGAGAGGAUGAUCAGCCACACGGGAACUGAGACACGGUCCAGACUCCUACGGGAGGCAGCAGUGGGGAAUAUUGGACAAUGGGCGAAAGCCUGAUACAGCAAUACCGCGUGGGUGAAGAAGGCCUUCGGGUUGUAAAGCCCUUAUGUUGGGAAAGAAAAGCAGCAGGUUAAUACGCCGCUGUUCUGACGGUACCCAAAGAAUAAGCACCGGCUAACUUCGUG
rnacentral:rRNA from 1 species